AUUGAACGCUGGCGGCAGGCCUAACACAUGCAAGUCGAGCGGAGCGGCGGACGGGUGAGUAAUGCCCAGGAAUCGGCCUGGUAGCGGGGGAUAACGUACGGAAACGGGCGCUAAUACCGCAUACUAUCAGAAUAGCCUGGGUCGGAUUAGCUAGUUGGUGGGGUAAAGGCCCACCAAGGCGACGACCCGUAACUGGUCUGAGAGGAUGAUCAGUCACACUGGAACUGAGACACGGUCCAGGCUCCUACGGGAGGCAGCAGUGGGGAAUAUUGGACAAUGGGCGAAAGCCUGAUCCAGCCAUGCCGCGUGUGUGAAGAAGGUCUUCGGAUUGUAAAGCACUUUAAGUUGGGAGGCGUUACCAUCAGAAUAAGCACCGGCUAACUUCGUGCCAGCAGCCGCGGUAAUUC
rnacentral:rRNA from 1 species